UGGGGAAUAUUGCACAAUGGGCGCAAGCCUGAUGCAGCCAUGCCGCGUGUGUGAAGAAGGCCUUCGGGUUGUAAAGCACUUUCAGCGGGGAGGAAGGCGAUAAGGCUAAUAACCUUGUCGAUUGACGUUACCCGCAGAAGAAGCACCGGCUAACUCCGUGCCAGCAGCCGCGGUAAUACGGAGGGUGCAAGCGUUAAUCGGAAUUACUGGGCGUAAAGCGCACGCAGGCGGUCUGUCAAGUCGGAUGUGAAAUCCCCGGGCUCAACCUGGGAACUGCAUUCGAAACUGGCAGGCUAGAGUCUUGUAGAGGGGGGUAGAAUUCCAGGUGUAGCGGUGAAAUGCGUAGAGAUCUGGAGGAAUACCGGUGGCGAAGGCGGCCCCCUGGACAAAGACUGACGCUCAGGUGCGAAAGCGUGGGGAGCAAACAGG
rnacentral:rRNA from 1 species